rnacentral:snoRNA from 10 species
GGCCUGAUGCCACGUCACUGUUAGCCACGAGCAUUGAGCUGUGAUGCUAUGAUCAGGCCGAGACAAAGCUGAUUCUGGCGUCUCACAAGUUGAUAGGAACCUGGGGACUGCUGUUCCAUCGGUCCACAGAGCCGGUUUCUGUGACUACAUUU